UACGAAGGGGGCUAGCGUUGCUCGGAAUCACUGGGCGUAAAGGGUGCGUAGGCGGGUCUUUAAGUCAGGGGUGAAAUCCUGGAGCUCAACUCCAGAACUUCCUUUGAUACUGAGGAUCUUGAGUUCGGGAGAGGUGAGUGGAACUGCGAGUGUAGAGGUGAAAUUCGUAGAUAUUCGCAAGAACACCAGUGGCGAAGGCGGCUCACUGGCCCGAUACUGACGCUGAGGCACGAAAGCGUGGGGAGCAAACAGG
rnacentral:rRNA from 1 species